AUUGAACGCUGGCGGCAUGCCUUACACAUGCAAGUCGGACGGUAACGCGGGGCAACCUGGCGACGAGUGGCGAACGGGUGAGUAAUGCAUCGGAACGUGCCCAGUAGUGGGGGAUAGCCCGGCGAAAGCCGGAUUAAUACCGCAUACGACCUGAGGGUGAAAGCGGGGGACCGAAAGGCCUCGCGCUAUUGGAGCGGCCGAUGUCAGAUUAGGUAGUUGGUGGGGUAAAGGCCUACCAAGCCUGCGAUCUGUAGCUGGUCUGAGAGGACGACCAGCCACACUGGGACUGAGACACGGCCCAGACUCCUACGGGAGGCAGCAGUGGGGAAUUUUGGACAAUGGGCGCAAGCCUGAUCCAGCCAUGCCGCGUGCGGGAAGAAGGCCUUCGGGUUGUAAACCGCUUUUGUCAGGGAAGAAACGCUCUGGGUUAAUACCCUGGGGUAAUGACGGUACCUGAAGAAUAAGCACCGGCUAACUACGUGCCAGCAGCCGCCGUAA
rnacentral:rRNA from 1 species